ensembl:lncRNA
CAUUAACCUAUGAUACUACCUUAAUGUUAACCUAUGAUACCACUUUAAGGUUAAUCUCUAAUACCACCUUAACAUUAUCCUAUGAUACCACCUUAACGUUAACCUAUGAUACGGAAGUCUGACCACAUGUGAGUCAAAACUUUCAUUCAGCGUGUGGCAGGAGAGCAAAGACAUCUUCAGCCUUUACUGGUCUCCACGGUGCUGAACUACUGUACACUAUGUACAAUAGCGUUCAUCCAAACAACACGGGACACUGCACUGUUCGGGCCCUCAGCAACAUGCCCAGUGAGACUCAAAUGGAGGAAGUGUGCGUCCCAGGGAAGGUGCUUCCCCUCUGGUCCUCAGCUCCGUCCGGGGGCCUCGGAGGAGCCACCGACUCCUUCCUGAGCGCCGCACGGCUGGCGAGGGGGGGGGGUGGAGGGAGUCCAGCGGACCCGGGUCUCCAGCCCCUCCCCCUCGACCCCAACACAGCUCUCCCGCUGGCCAGGAGGAGAACUACACCCCCUCGCCUCCGACGACAGGCCAGAGAGACACAGACAGGCCUGUACGCUUGGGACCAGGUCUAACAGCCCAGCAGACAGACAGGCCUGUACGCUUGGGACCAGGUCUAACAGCCCAGCAGAUAGACAGGCAUCUGCGCAGAAGAGUCGGUCUAGCAUCCAGGCAGAGAGAUAGGCGGGUCGCUGGUGUCGCUGGUGUCACUGGUGUCACCGGAGUCUCCUGUAUUUCUGGUAUCACUGGUGACUCUGUUGCUGUCUCUGCUGGUGACUCUCGUGUCUCUGGUAUCCCUGAUGUCGCUGGUGUCUCUGAUGGUGUCUCUUGUGUCUCUAGUAUCACUUGUGUUUCUGUUGAUGUCUUUGGUGUCACGGGUGUCUCUGCUGGUGUCUCGUCGGGCUGUCACAGAUCGGGGGAGGUGGAGGGUCAGAGGGUCUUCGCUGCCUGUUAUCACAGAGGUAUAGAUAUAGAUCAUAUAGAAGCUGAAGAUAUGGAGCUGAAACAUGUGUUAGUGUUGGGAAACUCCACAAUAUGUAACAAUGAUAAAAACGACUAUUUUUUUACUCCUAAUUUCCUCUAAACCAAGACCACUUCUAUAUCUACAUUAUGUUAUUUAUCUUGAGAGAGACUGAGAGAAAUCAAAUCAUAAUGAAUGAAGGAAGGAUGAUGUGUACUUAUAAAUAAUAAAUAAAGAUACGAUAAUUUGUGUUUAAUAAUGAAUAAAUGAAGGAUAAUGUCUAUUGAAUGAUUAGUAAAGGAAGGAUUAUGUGUAUUUAAUAAUGACAAAAUGAAGGAUAAUGUGUGUUUAAUGAAUACAUUAAGGAUACUGUGUAUUUAAUAAAUACAGGAAGGUUAAUAUGCAUUUAAUAUUGAAUAAAUGAAGGAUAAUGUGUAUUUAAAAAAAUCAGGAGGUUAAUGUGUGAUAAAUAAUGAAUGAAAGAAAGAAAACGUGAAUCCAAGAAAGAAUAAACUUGGGGAUAAUGUAAAUGAAAGUGUUUACAAGAUAUACUUUUUUUUUACUUCUGCUUUCAUCACAAAUCUGAAUAGUAUUUAGGGAAGACAUUUAGGCAUAUGACAACAUUCAACAAGUUUACGAUAAAACCAACAAUUACAGCACACACAAAACUGAAC